GACGAACGCUGGCGGCGUGCUUAACACAUGCAAGUCGAGCGAGGCCCUCCUUCGGGAGGUGUCCUAGCGGCGAACGGGUGAGUAACACGUGGGCAACCUGCCCUCAGCUCUGGGAUAACCCCAAGAAAUUGGGGCUAAUACCGGAUACGACCGCUGACCGCAUGGUCUGGUGGUGGAAAGAUUUAUCGGCUGAGGAUGGGCCCGCGGCCUAUCAGCUUGUUGGUGGGGUAGUGGCCUACCAAGGCGACGACGGGUAGCCGGCCUGAGAGGGUGACCAGCCACACUGGGACUGAGACACGGCCCAGACUCCUACGGGAGGCAGCAGUGGGGAAUAUUGCGCAAUGGGCGGAAGCCUGACGCAGCGACGCCGCGUGGGGGAUGACGGCCUUCGGGUUGUAAACCUCUUUCAGCAGGGACGAAGCGAAAGUGACGGUACCUGCAGAAGAAGCACCGGCCAACUACGUGCCAGCCGCCGCCGUAAGAC
rnacentral:rRNA from 1 species